CUUUAUAAAGUGCCCACAGUGCGCAAUUUAUCCAAACACACGCAGGCUGACUCCCCCCCGUACUGCGCAAACCCCCCGCACAGCUGCAGGUGAGCACUAUGGGAGCACGCCGAUCUUCAGUCCGUACUUUUAAAAAAGGACAAAGGUCUUGAACCAGGCCAGCUCUUGCAUCAGCUUUAACCUACCUCACACCCAGUUAGCAGACAUGAUCAUCAGACUGGGCAGACUGACACCUGGAUACUUCCGUCUCCUCCAGAGGCAAGUAGCAGGUCAGGUGCAGGCGCAGCCACAAGACCGUGCUGUCAACCAGAUAGCCAUGAUGCUGGCCAUCAUGGGCCUGAGUUUGUCUUACUACAGUGCCAAACAGAUGACGGAGAAGGUGAAUGCCCAGCCUGCACCCUGAAGAGGCUCGACUGCUGGUGCCAUUUGUCGAAAUAAUGGAUGAACCAAUGACAAGUGAUGGCGGUGGAGCGAGGAAGUAGAAGUCGAGACACAGCAGUGUUUCUGGGGACCGAACUUUUCUCACCUCACAGUCAUAGUCACACUUUGAAUUUCUGGGAUCCCUCACUUAGCAAAACUUUCUGACCGGGCACUGAGUGUUUUCUACUCUGUUGCCAGGACCUUCGGGGAUUUAUUGGGAUGGCUCACUCUGGGUCAUGUUUGGGCUCUUUUCUGUAGACUGGUUUGGGUGGGUGAUCAAAACCUGACGCUAAUUGGGUCUGAUUGUUAGUUAUUACCAGGCUAGAUGCUUGCAGGAUGCUGUCAGUGCUGUUCUGAGCUAUAAAAAGCAGAGAAACCUAAACUGUGAAACAAGCUUGUUCAAAAUAUGAGCAGUAAUGCCUUUUUAAGGGAAUGCUAACUGCAAGUGAAGUUUACCUGGUAAUGAAGUGAAGACAGGCUCAGAAUGUGGAUAAAUGGGUUAAAAAUGUAGCUUUAAUUUUUUUUUUUUCCUUUGACCCAAAGAACCUUGCAUAGCCCUGUGAACAGGGCUAUGUCUAUACAGAGAUGUCUAUACACCAAUUGGCCACAACAUUUUAAAGUUUUGUAGGUUCUCCUCAUGUUGCUGAAACCACAGUGGCUGGAAGUGGAUUCUGUGGUUGAUGCUCGUUCCACCUUGUGUUCGUUAAGUUGUCCCCAAGAGUUUUUGCGGCACGUCGGAGCACAUCACUCUGCUGGAGGGAGCCUGCUGCUGUUGGCGAGUGCCAUUAAUAUGGGGUAGCUCGCUUGGCCUUCAACAAUGUUAAUAAAACUAGGAGCCAAGUCAGAACGUAACACUGUAAACAUAUGAUCGAAAUGAUGUUAAUCCUUUCACCUGCCAGUGGUUUGAAUGUUGUGGCUGAUGUGUUUAUAAAAUUGUAUCUGCCAGGUGUCUGAGAUUAAGUGAAUAUUUGCACAGAACUACAGAAACACAUGUACAUGUUACAGUGGAUAUGCAAAGGGACUAAACUCUACUUUUUUUUUCUGGUUGUGAUUUCACUGUUUUAACAAUACUUUGUGAAGUCCUGUGUGUGCGACUACCUUGAUUAGCACCCUGGCUAAGAACCCUCCUUCUGGGAUCUACUAAUUUAGUGCAGACUUUACUGAAAUGCAUGGUUGUGUAGAACUUUAAUCCAAACAAAUCUCACGAGUCCCUCUUUUUUUUUUUCUUUUUUUUUUUUUAUGAAUGUAUCACUUUAUUUUCGUAUUGACUUAAUAAAGCUGUGAAUAUUUUAA